GGCGAACGGGUGAGUAACGCGUGAGGAACCUGCCUCAAAGAGGGGGACAACAGUUGGAAACGACUGCUAAUACCGCAUAAGCCCACGGCUCGGCAUCGAGCAGGGGGAAAAGGAGCAAUCCGCUUUGAGAUGGCCUCGCGUCCGAUUAGCUAGUUGGUGAGGUAACGGCCCACCAAGGCGACGAUCGGUAGCCGGACUGAGAGGUUGAACGGCCACAUUGGGACUGAGACACGGCCCAGACUCCUACGGGAGGCAGCAGUGGGGAAUAUUGCACAAUGGGGGAAACCCUGAUGCAGCGACGCCGCGUGGAGGAAGAAGGUCUUCGGAUUGUAAACUCCUGUUGUUGAGGAAGAUAAUGACGGUACUCAACAAGGAAGUGACGGCUAACUACGUGCCAGCAGCCGCGGUAAAACGUAGGUCACAAGCGUUGUCCGGAAUUACUGGGUGUAAAGGGAGCGCAGGCGGGAGAACAAGUUGGAAGUGAAAUCCAUGGGCUUAACCCAUGAACUGCUUUCAAAACUGUUUUUCUUGAGUAGUGCAGAGGUAGGCGGAAUUCCCGGUGUAGCGGUGGAAUGCGUAGAUAUCGGGAGGAACACCAGUGGCGAAGGCGGCCUACUGGGCACCAACUGACGCUGAGGCUCGAAAGUGUGGGUAGCAAACAGGAUUAGAUACCCUGGUAGUCCACACCGUAAACGAUGAUUACUAGGUGUUGGAGGAUUGACCCCUUC
rnacentral:rRNA from 1 species